rnacentral:rRNA from 1 species
GCGAGCGGCGGACGGGUGAGUAAUGUCUGGGAAACUGCCUGAUGGAGGGGGAUAACUACUGGAAACGGUAGCUAAUACCGCAUAACGUCGCAAGACCAAAGAGGGGGACCUUCGGGCCUCUUGCCAUCAGAUGUGCCCAGAUGGGAUUAGCUAGUAGGUGGGGUAACGGCUCACCUAGGCGACGAUCCCUAGCUGGUCUGAGAGGAUGACCAGCCACACUGGAACUGAGACACGGUCCAGACUCCUACGGGAGGCAGCAGUGGGGAAUAUUGCACAAUGGGCGCAAGCCUGAUGCAGCCAUGCCGCGUGUAUGAAGAAGGCCUUCGGGUUGUAAAGUACUUUCAGCGGGGAGGAAGGCGUUGAGGUUAAUAACCUCAGCGAUUGACGUUACCCGCAGAAGAAGCACCGGCUAACUCCGUGCCAGCAGCCGCGGUAAUACGGAGGGUGCAAGCGUUAAUCGGAAUUACUGGGCGUAAAGCGCACGCAGGCGGUCUGUCAAGUCGGAUGUGAAAUCCCCGGGCUCAACCUGGGAACUGCAUUCGAAACUGGCAGGCUAGAGUCUUGUAGAGGGGGGUAGAAUUCCAGGUGUAGCGGUGAAAUGCGUAGAGAUCUGGAGGAAUACCGGUGGCGAAGGCGGCCCCCUGGACAAAGACUGACGCUCAGGUGCGAAAGCGUGGGGAGCAAACAGGAUUAGAUACCCUGGUAGUCCACGCCGUAAACGAUGUCGACUUGGAGGUUGUGCCCUUGAGGCGUGGCUUCCGGAGCUAACGCGUUAAGUCGACCGCCUGGGGAGUACGGCCGCAAGGUUAAAACUCAAAUGAAUUGACGGGGGCCCGCACAAGCGGUGGAGCAUGUGGUUUAAUUCGAUGCAACGCGAAGAACCUUACCUACUCUUGACAUCCAGAGAACUUUCCAGAGAUGGAUUGGUGCCUUCGGGAACUCUGAGACAGGUGCUGCAUGGCUGUUCGUCAGCUCGUGUUGUGAAAUGUUGGGUUAAGUCCCGCAACGAGCGCAACCCUUAUCCUUUGUUGCCAGCGGUUAGGCCGGGAACUCAAAGGAGACU